rnacentral:rRNA from 1 species
UACGGAGGGUGCGAGCGUUGUCCGGAAUCACUGGGCGUAAAGGGCGCGUAGGCGGCCCGCUAAGUUGCUGGUGAAAUCCCGGGGCUCAACUCCGGGGCUGCCGGUAAGACUGGCGGGCUCGAGCACGGUAGAGGCAGAUGGAAUUCCCGGUGUAGCGGUGGAAUGCGUAGAUAUCGGGAAGAAUACCGGUGGCGAAGGCGUUCUGCUGGGCCGUUGCUGACGCUGAGGCGCGACAGCGUGGGGAGCAAACAGG